AGGAAUAAAAAUGUCACUUGUUGGAAGAAGUAAUUCUGAGGAAGCUGGCAUGCUUCCUUUUCUCUCUCUUUCUCUUCCUGGCAGUGGACGUCAACCCCUAGACUGGCUUCAGAAGGUGUUCGUCAUGUGUGGAAGAAGAUAGUAUGCAUCAGGGAGUAUCCCACGUCUGCUGCAGCUCCCCACACCCUGCCAACUGUGCUUUACAUCAAAUAGACAUAGACUUAUGCUAAGUGAAGAUGUCGAGAUUUCAGGAGUUGCUUGGUAUAACAUCUGGCAUUACCCUAAUAUGGAGUCUUGUUCCAGAUGAGCUCCUUGAAGAUGAGUCCCUCACUUUGCUUACUGAGUGGCAUCUGGCCCCAGCAAAUGCUUAAAGUACAUAUCGCUAAAUGGACAAAAACAUACCUGAUCAUUGAUAUGACACAAUUCAAGUUUAUUCAUACAGGUUUGUUCCAAGAGAAGUAGUCUCUGGGGUUCUUAAAGACGGAAGAUGAGGAACUCCACCACACCUCUCCAAGGCAGAGUGAUGGGGUGGCUGAUCAUCGGUCGACAUGUGAAAGAAGGAACAAAUUACUAUAUCAGAACAUCCAAGGGGAAAGGGAUCCAAAGGAUAUGUCCACCUGAUAACUCAUUUUACAUGUGGAAAGGAACCCAAGAGUCACCUGAGGCCAGAAAGGGACACAGGAAGCAAAAUGCAAGCCAUUACUGCAAAGUAUAUCAUGAUCUACAGUCAGAUGAGGACUGUGUCGUCAAGAUUGCCUCUUUCUCAGGGAUUUGAAGAUUUCUGGUUCCCUGAGGAAGAAUGAUGGGAAGGGGUGAACAGCCUUCAGAACUUCCCAGAACUUCUGUUCCUAUAGAAAUAACAAAUACAAAGUAGUUUGGUCCCAAAUCAUAGCAUAUUACAAUCUUGAAUCUCUCUCUAGGCUUUCACUUUGAUGCUAGGGGCUCCAAAGCGAGUAUGCUUUCUUCAGGCAGCAAUCUCUAAAGCUCAUGAUACCCUUAGACACUCAGUCUCCAGGUACCAAUGCAAGACAUCAGCUCCCAGACACCCCGAUCUAGGUUUCUAGGCCCAUCCUUCAGUCUACUGGGUGAUGAAGACUCCUGACCCAGGAUUUAGAAUUUGAAGCCAGACUCUGGCCUUUACUAGCUGUGACCUUGGACAGGUCCUCUUUUUUUUUUUUUUUUAAUCUCUCUAUAUCCAUUUUCUUGUCAGUUUUAUGGAAAUUAUCAAUGUUUCUACUUUACAGUACUCUUACAAAGACUAAGGGAGACCAGUGCAUGCAAAAUGUUUAAGACUUUCCCUGUUGUAUGCUUAAAUACUUGAUUUAUUUUGCUGCAUGUCUAGAAUAAAAUAUUAGUGGAAGCAAAAGUCCCAUUUAAUCAUCUGUCUGUGUGCUUGGGACUGUGUUCAGUCUUCUAGGUGUCUUUGGGUCCCCUACACAAAAUAACUUUCAGUAUCAUCUCCCUUCCCCUCAAGUUUUUUUGGAGUGAGCACUUCCUGUGAGCAGCAGGAGUGAAGGCUUGAAUGGGCUGCCUGUAAAGGCUCAGGCUGCGUCUCCGGGAGCCCCUCCCUAUUUCAGUAUUGUUUUGAUCAGAAUGAUGGCUUCAGUCACAAGCAGUUGAUUGGCAUUUAUGAUUCUGUCAUUACAACAGCUGAUUAAUUCCUCUAUAAUGAAACUGCCUGUGGUCACUGGUAGCAUGCACAUAGCCAUGACUAAACAUUUAUUUGUGGUCAGUGUCUCUGAGUACCUUACUGAAGUUGGUUUUCCCAACACAACCCUCUUAAGCAGGCCUUGUUAUUUGCACUCUAUAUAUGGGGAAUCCAGGAUCAGCUCAGAGAGGUUCGUGCGCUGCCCACCACACCCAGCUCGUAGGAGGAUUUGUGCCCAUGUCUGCUUCAAUCUUUCAGCCACAUUUUUAAAUAAAAUAUCAGGUUUCCCAAGGUAUGAUUUAUAUUCACUAAGGUUCAUACUUUCUUAAGCAGACAGUUCAGUGAGUUUUGACAGUGCAUAUAGUUAUGUUACUGCAAUAUAAGCAAGCUAUAAAACCUCAGUUUAAUCCCAGAGGUUUCCUCUUAGUCCUCUGCAGGCAGUCUGCUUCUUCUAACCCCGACCCCAGCCCUGGAGACCAUCGAUUGUUUCCUGUGCCUUUACUUUUGUCUUUUUUAGAGUGUCCUAUAAAUGGAACCAUGUAGUUUAUCAUCAUUUGGAUCUGACUUCUUCCAUUUGUCAGAUGGCUUUUGAGAUUCCUCCAGAAGGUCACAGGUGUGAUGUUUGUCCAGGUCUUUUUAUUGCUGAGCAGCACUCCAUUAUUUGAGAAGACCCUACACUCCGUUCACUCACUCACUAAUUGAACACUUGUAUUAUUUCCACUUUAGUGGCUAUUAGAAAUAAAGUUGCUAUAAACAUUUAUGUACAAGUCUUUAUGUAUAGACAUGUUUUCAUUGUCCUUGUGUCAGUAUCCAUGACAGAACACUCCCGAGUUUCAGGUUAGAUGUAUGUUUAAGUUCACAGCAGACCCAUGCGACAGACCCAUUUCCCCAACUCUGUAUCUUUUUUGAAUUCUCCCUAGAAUUGCAUGAAAGGCUUUUUUAGCUAUAUUUAAACAUUUUAGACCCAACACCUAGUUUAUUCUGAGCUGCUCUGAGCCAAGAGGUUGGGAAUAAUGAAUGCCACAUUUCAUUGAAUCCCAGAAGCUAUCAAUUUUAAGAUUCACCACUAUUUUACAAACCAUUAAGGAAGAAAAAUGUCUAGCAAGCAAUGACAUAGUCCUUUCUUAUCACUUAGGAAAAAUAACAUUUUGUACUUAUUAAAAUAACCUACUUUUCACUCUUGCACAUAUAAAAAGUAGAAAACAAAAAUGAAGCCAAUGGUUAGGGUACACCUAGAACACAUUCACCUGUAGAGCCUCUUUUGCUAACUCUGAGUUUUAACUGUACCUUUGUUUAUACCGGUGUCUUCCUGAAUGCCUUCAGCCCGUUGAUGAUACAGCAUUUUAAAAAGCAUGCUCUGUUAUUGUUUCUGGGAUUUUCUUUCAAGCAAAUCUCAAAGCAGGGAACUUUUUUAUUUGACUACAAUCACAUCUUAUGCUGCCCUCAACUCAACUGAAUUAUGUAUCACUGGAGGUUAAGCAGCUUCCAUUGAAAUUUAGGAAAAAGGUUUUUUUUGUUUUUUUUGCAAACUGGUAUAUGAAGCUUUAGAGAGAACCCUUUUCAAUGGAUAAAUUAGUCAUGCCAGAAUCUGCGACUUUAAUACUUUGUUCACCUGGUUUUUAAAAAGUGUGACCAUUUCUCUUGACUUCAGGAUUGUUGGCUCCAUGAGUCAAGCAACACACUUAACCCAAGUGGAAUCCUGACAGUGUGGAUGGUGGGUCACCUGGUCCACAUGUACAAAGGCUGUGGCAAAUAUCCCUGACUUUCUACCUGCCUAGAAGAUGCCUUGAAAGACAUCUUCAUGUGUAGAAGACAGCCUGAUCCUUGGUCACUAAAAUUAAAAAAAACCUGCUUCUUAAGAGUUAAUAAAAUUCAGCAUAUU